rnacentral:rRNA from 1 species
AUUGAACGCUGGCGGCAUGCCUUACACAUGCAAGUCGAACGGUAGGGGGGCAACCCCUGAGAGUGGCGAACGGGUGAGUAAUGCAUCGGAACGUGCCCAGUUGUGGGGGAUAACGUAGCGAAAGCUACGCUAAUACCGCAUACGACCUGAGGGUGAAAGCGGGGGACCGUAAGGCCUCGCGCAAUUGGAGCGGCCGAUGUCAGAUUAGCUAGUUGGUGGGGUAAAAGCUCACCAAGGCGACGAUCUGUAGCUGGUCUGAGAGGACGACCAGCCACACUGGGACUGAGACACGGCCCAGACUCCUACGGGAGGCAGCAGUGGGGAAUUUUGGACAAUGGACGAAAGUCUGAUCCAGCCAUGCCGCGCGCAGGAAGAAGGCCUUCGGGUUGUAAAGCUCUUUCGCAAGGGAAGAAAACUUAUCUACUAAUACUAGGUGAGGCUGACGGUACCUUGAUAAGAAGCACCGGCUAACUACGUGCCAGCCGCCGCUGUAACAC